rnacentral:rRNA from 1 species
UGGCGGUUCGCCGCCGCCGACGUCGCGAGAAGUCCACUGAACCUUAUCAUUUAGAGGAAGGAGAAGUCGUAACAAGGUUUCCGUAGGUGAACCUGCGGAAGGAUCAUUGUCGAAACCUGUAGUAUGACCCGCGAACAAGUUAAUCCACUGCGGAAGGAGCCUUGUUCUCCUGAAGCAAGGUUCCGUGGGGUGCAUUGCUCCCUGCGGAUGCCAUAAAACAAACCCCGGCACGGAAAGUGCCAAGGAAAAUAAACGAAUAAGAGAGAGCGUCACAUUCACUUGUGAAGCGUUCUCCUUCUAUAAAAAAACGACUCUCGACAACGGAUAUCUCGGCUCUCGCAUCGAUGAAGAACGUAGCGAAAUGCGAUACUUGGUGUGAAUUGCAGAAUCCCGUGAACCAUCGAGUCUUUGAACGCAAGUUGCGCCCAAGGCUCCGGCCGAGGGCACGUCUGCCUGGGUGUCACGCAACGUCGCUCCCUCAAUGCCUUUCAUUGGGUCCUUUGAAUGUGGAGCGGAGAAUGGCUUCCCGUGAGCACAUGCUUUUGGUUGGCUAAAAAAAUGAGACCAAGUCGGCAAAUGACGCGACGUUCGGUGGUUGAAAAUGCCCUUACAUUGUCGUUGUCAUUCUGCCAUAUAAACAAGGAUCUAAUUGACCCUCUUGCAUUCGACGCGACCCCAGGUCAGGCGGGAUGGCCCGCUGA